CUUUUCUGGCGCUGGCUCCUCUUGGUCAGUGCGGUUUCGCCUUUAUGGUGGUGGAGUACGCCCAAGCUGUGGACAGCAAAUAACCCUGUACAAAGGGGAAUGGAGAUUGCCUCUAUCCACCUAGAUUCAUAAGAUGCCCUGAGGUGAUCUUGGCAUCACGGAAGGUAUGCACAUCACACCAUCAGCUUCAGAGAAUGGCAGCCAUUUAUUUGUCCCGUGGGUUUUUUUCCAGGGAACCAAUCUGCCCUUUUGAAGAAAAGACAGAGGUAGAAAGGAUGGUGGAGGACUACCUGGCAAACGGUUAUCAGAAUGGGAAAUGCAACCUAGAACCAAACGGUCAUCACUUCAGCAGGGUUUUUUGAAGAAUCAAAUAUUCAGUGGGAUACAAAUGACAAGAGGCUACAGUGGAUGGAAACUCUGUGACUGUAAGAAUUGUGGCGAGGUCUUCAGGGAACAAUUUUGCCUUAAGACACACAUGAGAGCUCAGAAUGGAGGGAACACUUCUGAGGGUAAUUGUUAUGGAAAAGACACCCUCGGUGUGCACAAGGAAGCCUCUAUUGGACGGGAGCUUUCCAAAUUUAAUCCAUGUGGAAAAGUCUUCACUCUAACUCCAGGUCUUGCU
rnacentral:sRNA from 1 species